UACAGAGGUGGCAAGCGUUGUUCGGAAUUACUGGGCGUAAAGGGCGCGUAGGCGGCCUUCUAAGUCAGACGUGAAAUCCCCAGGCUUAACUUGGGAACUGCGUCUGAUACUGGGAGGCUUGAGUGCGGGAGAGGGAUGUGGAAUUCCAGGUGUAGCGGUGAAAUGCGUAGAUAUCUGGAGGAACAUCGGUGGCGAAGGCGGCAUCCUGGACCGGUAUUGACGCUGAGGCGCGAAAGCUAGGGGAGCAAACGGG
rnacentral:rRNA from 1 species